CAGUCACACACAUGAGUCUCCAAUUGCAAAUAAUAAGAUGUGGGCAAGACUGGUAUUCUAAUUCAAGAAUCAACUUGACGAAAUGUCGUGUUUAAAUCUGCAUGAAGGCUGGGACUUGGAGUGAUACAUCCGUGAGCUAGAUCCUUCGAGACAAGACACCACCUUCCUCCUUUGGAUGCCCCUUCUAACGUCACACUCUUGAUCUGAACACACAGCAGGCACAUCUGGGGAGCUUGUGGCUCACAGAGAAGGAAGGGGAAGUGACCCAUGGUAAAAGCUGGGGCCAGUUAUUCUGCUGUGGCUUGAAGCCCUAUGCCUCCUUCUGCAGGUGUCACAGAGCUAUUGCCGAA
rnacentral:lncRNA from 1 species